rnacentral:rRNA from 1 species
GGGUCAGUAGGUUGGUCGUGCCACCGGUACGUACUGGACUCACUGAUUCCUCCUUCCUGAAGAACCGUAAUGCCAUUAAUUUGGCGUUGCGGGGAAACAGGACUGUUACUUUGAAAAAAUUAGAGUGUUUAAAGCAAGCUAACGCUUGAAUACAUUAGCAUGGAAUAAUGAAAUAGGACGAUCGAUCCUAUUUUGUUGGUUUCUAGGAUUGACGUA